CUCUCUCGAUCUCCCCUGUCACGAACCCCUCUUCUCUCCCUAACCAUCCUCUCUCUCUGAAUCUCACGAAGACUUCCCUCUCUGACGCCAUAAUCCGCGUCCAUUUUAAAUGUUUUAAUGGCUCUCUUUUUGCCCUUCAUUUUUCGUGAAAAUCCUCUCCCUCCCUCUCUCGUUAGUCCUUGCAUCAAUGGCAUCCGUCUCUGCGACUUCCAUCUGGUUCGGAUCUUCGUUACAACAAGCGAAUUGGAGUUAGGUAGCUGGAAGGAUUUCUAGUUUGAGGUUGGUCUCUGUUGGCAGGGUGAAGAACGUCAGCUUCUCAUCUCUGCGGACCUCCCGAUUCCAGAUCUGUUGUGCAGCAAAAAAGGAGACAGUUGACAAAGUCUGCGAGAUUGUGAGGAAGCAAAUAUGCUUGCCUGACGAGAUAAGUUUUUUUUUUUUUUUUAAAGAAGAAAAGGUCAUGAAAAUUAUGUAUAUAUCCCCACUUUGUGAAGAGAAUGGAGAUCUCAUGAACUCUUAUUGGCUAAAGAUAUGGGACCCAGUCCUUAAAUGAUGGGACCCAUUGGUUACUGCACAGGUCCUAAAUCUAGAAACGGGUGGUUUUAAUUGUUUUGUCAGUCCUCAACUCUUCAACGUAGUAUUUUUAUUACAUUGCAUUGCUAUUUAUCAUUUUCGUAUGUAUGUUACCCAUGUUAAAAUCUGAAACUUUUAGAUUAUAUGACUGAAUUGUUGAAAUUUUAUACGGACAUCAGUACUGUCGAACAUUGCCAAAAUGAUGAGGGGAAUGUCGCGAGACUAGUGAUCACAUUAGGAGAGAUUUUGUUGUAUUUUCUGUUAUUCCUUGUAAUGGGGAUCUUGAUACCCUUUUAUAGACUUCAAUCCACCACCCCAACAGUCAAUCAUCAACUCUCCCAAGGUGCAACGGUCUUCAUUUGGGAAAUGUUAAUUCCCUUCACAAUCUCAUAAGCUCAGUUGGCCACUCAGAACAGAGGCCACUGCUGCACAAGAGCCAGAAUAUACAAACAUUAGGUAUUCAAACCUUCCACCAUUUUAACCUUAAUUUGUAGCUGACUGUAGUUCGGAUCAUGGCUUAGAUUAUUAUCAGAUUACACAGCUAGUUUAUAGCAGAGUUGUCAGAGGGUCUGAUGUAAUGUGUCACAAAUACGUUCCUAGCAUGGUUGGGCCAAAAGAAUGUCUCUGUAUGUUUUGUUCUUACUCUAUGUUAUUUGACUAGUCAUGUAUUAUCUCGAUUGUAUUUUGAAAGUUUUGAGUUUGUUGUUUAUUUCAUGCAGGAACCUGCAUCAGAGAUACAUGACAAGAUUUUAUUUAUGAUUAAUAAUAUUUCAUCUUCAAAUAUGGAUGUGAAAGCAAAAUAAUUUACUGAUGUCUUGAGAGAGUAGUACUAUCCAUGGUUUGCUUAGUAUAUGGUGAUGAAAAGGACCAUCAGAAUGUGAGAUUACUGUGGCAUGACUUGAAGAAAGGCGAUUUCUAUCAUCUAAUGGCAACUCCAAAGUCCUUGCACUUAUCAUCUAGGUCUUGCCAUCCAACAAUAUGUUUUGACCCUUCCACUUUCAUGCUUGAUUAAAGUUCUCCUCUGCCCUUUGAUUUUACAGAUGGUGGAAAAGCUAUUUUAUUUAACAGUUGUAUCAUGGUGAUCCAGUGCUAAAUCCUCUUACACCUUGGGAUAGACCUCCAUUGAAAAAUAUUUUCUGUAUACAUGGGAUAGAUAUGAA